rnacentral:RNase_P_RNA from 1 species
GCGGGGGGCUGGAUGGCCGCGGGCCGCAAGGCACGAGGAAAGUCCGGACUCCACAAAGCAAUGGUGCCAGGUAACGCCUGGGCGGGGAAACCCGACGGAAAGCGCAACAGAGAACAGACCGCCCAUGCCUGCAUGGGUAAGGGUGAAACGGUGGGGUAAGAGCCCACCAGGGGACUGGUAACAGGACCCGUAUGGCAAGCCCCACCAGGAGCAAUGCCGAAUAGGAACCUUGCGCGGGUUGAUCGGGCAACCGAUAUCACCGCAGGGCAGCUUUGGCCCAAAGGUUCGGGUUGGCAGCUAGAGGCACAGGGGUGACCCUGUGUUUAGAUGAAUGGUCAUCCACGGGGGCAACCCCGGGACAGAAUCCGGCUUAUAGGCCCCCCGCGUGU